rnacentral:rRNA from 1 species
CAGGCGGCCGCACUAGUGAUUUGAUUAAGCCAUGCGAGUCAUAUGUUCCUCGUGAACAUGGCAUACUGCUCAGUAACACGUGGAUAACCUGCCCUUGGGUCUGGGAUAACCCCGGGAAACUGGGGAUAAUACCGGAUGACGCAUAUGUGCUGGAAUGCUUUAUGCGUAAAACGGAUUCGUCCGCCCAAGGAUGGGUCUGCGGCCUAUCAGGUAGUAGUGGGUGUAAUGUACCUACUAGCCAACAACGGGUACGGGUUGUGAGAGCAAGAGCCCGGAGAUGGAUUCUGAGACAUGAAUCCAGGCCCUACGGGGCGCAGCAGGCGCGAAAACUUUACAAUGCGGGAAACCGUGAUAAGGGAACACCGAGUGCCAGCAUCAUAUGCUGGCUGUCCAGAUGUGUAAACUACAUCUGUUAGCAAGGGCCGGGCAAGACCGGUGCCAGCCGCCGCGGUAACACCGGCGGCCCGAGUGGUGACCGUUAUUAUUGGGUCUAAAGGGUCCGUAGCCGGUUUGGUCAGUCCUCCGGGAAAUCUGAUAGCUUAACUGUUAGGCUUUCGGGGGAUACUGCCAGGCUUGGAACCGGGAGAGGUAAGAGGUACUACAGGGGUAGGAGUGAAAUCUUGUAAUCCCUGUGAGACCACCUGUGGCGAAGGCGUCUUACCAGAACGGGUUCGACGGUGAGGGACGAAAGCUGGGGGCACGAACCGGAUUAGAUACCCGGGUAGUCCCAGCCGUAAACUAUGCUCGCUAGGUGUCAGGCAUGGCGCGACCGUGUCUGGUGCCGCAGGGAAGCCGUGAAGCGAGCCACCUGGGAAGUACGGCCGCAAGGCUGAAACUUAAAGGAAUUGGCGGGGGAGCAAAUCCCGCGGCCA